CCUCACUAAGCCACACUCUCUCUCUGUCUAUAUCUAUGUCUAUCUCUCUCCAUCUCUAUACUAUAAGACAGAUAGCCAGCCAUAGUGGUGUGUUGUGUAGAUCUCUCUGUCUCUCUGUCCCACCCCCUACAGGGACAGACGUUUCCCUCUCUCUCUCUCUCCUCUCUCUGUUGUUAGUGAAACGGAGAAGGAAAUGUCGUCUUUACAUUUACCAAGAGUAAUUAGUCAACGAGGAAAGACAGCCGUGGAAGUUGAGAGGGAGAACUUCGAGAAAGCUCAGUCAAUUGCUAUCAACAAAGCUAUCAAUUCAAAUGUACAUCCAGUCAAGGAAAAGCAUGUGCGAAGUGCCAUACUCGGAACGUUUCAUGAAAGCGGUGCCGGUGUCUUUUGGGCGACCACAUCUAAACUUCCACUUCAAGGAAAUGCUAUUAUUUGCUGGAAGUUUCUCCAUGUCCUGCACAAGCUGCUCCGGGAAGGACAUGCUAAUGUUAUUUUGGAUUCCCAGAAAUACAUUUCCUUGUUGAAGGACAUUGGAAAAUUAUGGGGUCACCUAAAGGAUGGAUACGGUCGGCUGAUAGCUGCGUAUACGAAGCUUCUAAUUCAGAAACUCUCUUUCCACAAAAAGAAUCCUAGAAUUCCUGGAAGCUUGACCAUGACAGACGAACAAUUCAAUAAAAUUUUUGGAGCUGAUGUAAAUAACUAUUUUGAAGUGUCAUGUGACAUGCUUGACUACCUGGAUGAGAUCCUUGUGUUGCAGGAAGCAGUAUUUGGCUCACUAGACAUGUCUCGGUCAAACUCAAUGACCAACUCAGGCCAGUGUCGACUCGCUCCACUCAUACCCUGUAUACUUGACUCAUGCCAGCUCUAUGACUAUUUGGUGAAGUCACUCUUCAAGCUUCACUCAAGUCUACCGCCAGAUACACUUUCUGGACAUAGAGAUCGAUUCCUUGCGGGAUACAGGCAUUUGAAACAGUUCUAUCACCAAAGUGGGACCCUGCAGUAUUUCAAGAACUUGGUUCAAGUCCCUCUUCUACCAGAUGAUCCCCCAAACUUCACUAUUGCCUCCGACUUUAGCAAACAUGUCAAGCCUGUUGCAGUUGUACCCGAAGAGAUGGAACCAGAAGCAGAGACUCCAGAAUUCGAUGGAAUCGGUUUCCUAAUAGAUACCUCUUCACCUAUUCAAGAAACAGACAAAUUUGAUGAAACUUUUGGUGAAGGUAGUAUGGAUAGUUUUAAUUUCAAUGGACAACCACAGAUUGAUGAAAGGGAUAUGAUAAUAGAGCAACUACACAAAGAAAUUCAACAACUCCGGGAGGAAAUCGAGAGGCUGCAAACAGAGGCACAAAUGAAAAUUCAGCCCCUCCUGGAGGAGAAGGAGCAACUAAAAAAGAUCCUAACAGAGUUACAGUUAACCCUUGAUAAUACUUUGAAGGAAAACGAGCUAAUCAAGAAAGAACUCGAGGAAAUGAAGACGGUCUUACCAGUAGCAGAUAAACUAAAUGAUUCUGAAAAAUUGGUGAAAGCAAAUGAAGAAAAAUUCAAGAAGAUGAAGGAUAUUUAUGGCAAACUACGAGAGGAACAUGUCACCCUGUUGAGAGUCCAUGCCGAAGUAAGCAAACAGUUGAAAGAUGAAAAGAAGUUAACAGAAGAAAAAGACAUGUUAUUAAAGAAGACAACCAGUGAGCUGGACAGUGUCCGUGAAGAGCAGAAACAGCUUGAGGUGGCCACCCAGGCCAAGACUGACCAAGUCUCCCUCCAACUGCAAUCCUCCACUCAACAAUGUUCACAACUGGAGAAAUCUUGUCAGGCUGCUACUGCCGCUGCUGCUGCUGCUGCUUCCCAACGCAACCACCCAUCCUCCACGACAGCAGCAGCCUCAUCACCACCGCUUCCGCCAUUACCAUCACCACCACCGCCACCACCAGCCCAACACACCAACGAUGAUUAUGAGGAAUUGACCAAGGAAAUCGAAUUAAUCAAAGCCCAGAAGCUCCAGCUGGAGACGGAUCUGAAUGACGUCCGUUCCAGCAGCCUUGCAUUGGAGGAAAGCCUUCAGGUGACGAAGACGGAGAAGGAGGAAACGGCGGAGAAACUGCAGAAGCAAGUGAACUGUUUACAGAAUGAACUGGAAGAGAAGACCAAGGAGAUGGUGGUUGCUAAGGAGACGCUGCAGAAGGAGAUGGAAGGGGUUCAAAGCCAACUGAAGAGCAGCCAAAGUACACAGCAGACAGCAGAGGAGAAUUAUACCAAAAAUAAAGAGGAGAUGGAGAGGAAAUACGAAGAUUUAUUGACGGAAAAGAAAACCAGCGACAAUGAACGUGAAGAGGCCCUCAAGAAACUCUACCAAUUACUUAUCGAAAGCUGUGUAAAGCAAUGCAACUCAAUUCUCUUGGAUGCCACAGAACAAUCGGACAAUCUUCUCCACCUUACUGUAGGUUGCUCAGCAGAUUAUUUAUUGGACCGAAUAUUACCUGUUUAUGAGUGUUUGGAGAAAUUAGGGAACUCAUUUCAGAAUUACAAAUCUAAUCCAAUUUCUAUACAAGACUUAAUCACUUCAAUGGUUGAUUUUUCACACCGACUCUCCGACUCUGUCCAGUAUGGUUUAGCAACGUCACACUCAGCCCAGCUAAGUGCUGGUGAAGAAUUAAACACGACCUGUAAGAACACAAUUGACGAAAGCAUGAAGGCGUUAACCCAAAUAGAGAAAGAUGAGAACUCUGUGUUGGCACAGUUUGGUGUAGUCUUAGAAAACGUCAAGAAGAUGCAGUCUUGUGCUGAGACGCUGUUACCAAAGAUUGCUGAUGUGAAAGACAAGGAGAUUGGAGACAUGGUUGAAUCAGAGAUGCAACUCACAACAAGUGCCAUUGACCUUGCAGCCAGUAAAAUUGAGGAAAUGUUGAAGAAAACGCAGGAAGACACAACUGGUUUAAAUCUGGAGGUCAACGAAAGUAUUCUCGAUGCGUGCACAGGCCUUAUGCAGGCUAUAAAAGUGCUUGUUGAGAAAUCUCGAGAUUUACAAAAAGAAAUCGUUGCCCAAGGGCGGGGUGCCUCAUCAGCCAAAGAGUUCUACAACAAACACCAUCGCUGGACUGAGGGACUCCUCUCAGCUGCCAAGGCUGUCGGAUGGGGAGCUACUGCCACCAUGGAGGCUGCUGAUAAAGUUGUCCAGGGUGAAGGCAAAUUUGAGGAACUAAUUGUGUAUUCCAAAGAGAUUGCUGCCAGUACAAUCCAGCUAGUGGUUGCCUCGAAGGUCAAAGCUGACCGCAACAGCAAACAUCUCAAAGAACUGACCGAUGCCUCAAAGAAGGUCAACCAAGCGGCCGGAAAAGUGAUUGGUUCAGCUAAAACAGGGGCAAACGCUAUCGAAGAACGAAGUUUAAUGGACUUUUCCAGUCUAAACUUACAUCAGACCAAAAAGCAGGAAAUGCAGAUAAAGGUGUUGAUUCUUGAGAUGGAGAAGGACUUGAAGAAUGAGUAUGAGAAAUUAAGCAACAUUCGCAAGCACCAUUACCAGCUGGCUGGUGAGAGUGAAGGCUGGGAUGUUGAAGAGGAACUUGAUGUCAUAGAGAAACAAGACCAAUCUGACACAGAGCAGUGGCUGCAGAUGUGUGAUAGCGACGGCGGUGGUGGCUCCCUUGACCUGCAGCUUCCAGACCCCAGUCUGGCUCCCUCGGGCACAGAUGCCGUCAGCUCCGACCACUAACACAUACGCAUACAUAUAUAUAUAUAUAUAUAUAUAUGUAUAUACAUACACAGACACACGGACACUCCAUAGCCGUUACUACUACCACCACCACCACCACCACUACUACUACUACUACUGCUACUGCUACUUGUGGUACUACAUCUGAUUUCUUGCUUGUUUCUUUUUUCUUCUUCUUUGGGCGUUUGGAUAACAAGAGCUGAACUCUGACAUCAUCCUCACCAUUGUACAGAAGAGAAGCCUAAUAUUACUGUGGAUGUGUGUGUGUGUGUGUGUGUAUAUAAGUAUAAAUGUAUGGGUAAGUGCCUGCAUGUGAGUGCAUACGUAAGUGUAUAUGUGUGUGUGUGUAUGUUUAUAUAUAUAUAUAUAUAU